rnacentral:rRNA from 1 species
GGGGAAUAUUGGACAAUGGGCGCAAGCCUGAUCCAGCCAUGCCGCGUGAGUGAUGAAGGCCCUAGGGUUGUAAAGCUCUUUCACCGGUGAAGAUAAUGACGGUAACCGGAGAAGAAGCCCCGGCUAACUUCGUGCCAGCAGCCGCGGUAAUACGAAGGGGGCUAGCGUUGUUCGGAAUUACUGGGCGUAAAGCGCACGUAGGCGGAUAUUUAAGUGAGGGGUGAAAUCCCAGGGCUCAACCCUGGAACUGCCUCUCAUACUGGGUAUCUCGAGUUCGAGAGAGGUGAGUGGAAUUGCGAGUGUAGAGGUGAAAUUCGUAGAUAUUCGCAGGAACACCAGUGGCGAAGGCGGCUCACUGGCUCGAUACUGACGCUGAGGUGCGAAAGCGUGGGGAGCAAAC